rnacentral:tRNA from 1 species
AAUUUAAAUAUUUUUUUUUAGUUUUCUAAACUGAAUUUUCCUUUGUAGGUUA